GAUGAACGCUGGCGGCGUGCCUAAUACAUGCAAGUCGAGCGAACGGACGAGAAGCUUGCUUCUCUGAUGUUAGCGGCGGACGGGUGAGUAACACGUGGAUAACCUACCUAUAAGACUGGGAUAACUUCGGGAAACCGUAGCUAAUCCCGGAUAAUAUUUUGAACCGCAUGGUUCAAUAGUGAAAGACGGUCUUGCUGUCACUUAUAGAUGGAUCCGCGCUGCAUUAGCUAGUUGGUAAGUUAACGGCUUACCAAGGCAACGAUGCAUAGCCGACCUGAGAGGGUGAUCGGCCACACUGGAACUGGGACGCGGACCAGACUCCUACGGGAGGCAGCAGUAGGGAAUCUUCCGCAAUGGGCGAAAGCAUGACGGAGCAACGCCGCGUGAGUGAUGAAGGUCUUCGGAUCGUAAAACUCUGUUAUUAGGGAAGAACAUAUGUGUAAGUAACUGUGCACAUCUUGACGGUACCUAAUCAGAAAGCCACGGCUAACUACGUG
rnacentral:rRNA from 1 species